CCCUUUUCUCCUCUCCUCAUUUCCUUCUCCUUCUCGAGAAGCAACAUUGGGCAUUUGGAUGAGCAUGGCAUCUACACUGGCCAGUGCUCCACCUUCGCUCUCUACGGCUACGUCCGCGCUCAGGGAGAGGCCGACAGUGGUUUGGACCGUCUCUGGCAGAAGAAGAAAACCGAAGUUAAACAG